rnacentral:tRNA from 1 species
GGUGCUCAGUGGUAGAGUGCUUGUCUUUCAUGCAUGAGGCCCUGGGUUCGAUUCCUCAGCACCA